UUUUCGGAAGGGAGAACGGUGG
rnacentral:misc_RNA from 1 species